rnacentral:rRNA from 1 species
ACCAGACUCCUACGGGAGGCAGCAGUGGGGAAUAUUGGGCAAUGGGCGCAAGCCUGACCCAGCAACGCCGCGUGAAGGAAGAAGGCUUUCGGGUUGUAAACUUCUUUUAAGAGGGAAGAGCAGAAGACGGUACCUCUUGAAUAAGCCACGGCUAACUACGUGCCAGCAGCCGCGGUAAUACGUAGGUGGCAAGCGUUGUCCGGAUUUACUGGGUGUAAAGGGCGUGCAGCCGGGAGUGCAAGUCAGAUGUGAAAUCCCGCGGCUCAACCGCGGAACUGCAUUUGAAACUGUGCUUCUUGAGUGCUGGAGAGGCAGACGGAAUUCCUAGUGUAGCGGUGAAAUGCGUAGAUAUAAGGAAGAACACCAGUGGCGAAGGCGGAUUACUGGACGAUAACUGACGGUGAGGCGCGAAAGCGUGGGGAGCAAACAGGAUUAGAUACCCCUGUA